ACGUAGGGUGCGAGCGUUGUCCGGAAUUACUGGGCGUAAAGUGUGCGCAGGCGGCCGCGCAAGUCGAGUGUGAAAGCCCCGGGCUUAACUUGGGAAUUGCGCUCGAAACUACGUGGCUAGAGUGUGGCAGAGGGAGGUGGAAUUCCACGUGUAGCGGUGAAAUGCGUAGAGAUGUGGAGGAACACCGAUGGCGAAGGCAGCCUCCUGGGCCAACACUGACGCUCAUGCACGAAAGCGUGGGGAGCAAACAGGA
rnacentral:rRNA from 1 species